rnacentral:rRNA from 1 species
CAGUCGCCACGGUAAUACGGAGGGUGCAAGCGUUAAUCGGAAUUACUGGGCGUAAAGCGCACGCAGGCGGUCUGACAAGUCAGAUGUGAAAUCCCCGGGCUUAACCUGGGAACUGCAUUUGAAACUGUCAGACUGGAGUCUUGUAGAGGGGGGUAGAAUUCCAGGUGUAGCGGUGAAAUGCGUAGAGAUCUGGAGGAAUACCGGUGGCGAAGGCGGCCCCCUGGACAAAGACUGACGCUCAGGUGCGAAAGCGUGGGGAGCAAACAGGAUUAGAUACCCGGGUAGUCCCUGUCUCUUAUAC